rnacentral:rRNA from 1 species
AUUGAACGCUGGCGGCAUGCCUUACACAUGCAAGUCGAACGGCAGCACGGGUGCUUGCACCUGGUGGCGAGUGGCGAACGGGUGAGUAAUACAUCGGAACGUACCUUAUCGUGGGGGAUAACGCAGCGAAAGCUGUGCUAAUACCGCAUACGCCCUGAGGGGGAAAGCGGGGGAUCGAAAGACCUCGCGCGAUUAGAGCGGCCGAUGCCUGAUUAGCUUGUUGGUGGGGUAAAAGCCCACCAAGGCGACGAUCAGUAGCUGGUCUGAGAGGACGAUCAGCCACACUGGGACUGAGACACGGCCAAGACUCCGACGGGAGGCAGCAGUGGGGAAUUUUGGACAAUGGGGGCAACCCUGAUCCAGCAAUUCCGCGUGAGUGAAGAAGGCCUUCGGGUUGUAAAGCUCUUUUGUCAGGGAAGAAACACCGGCUCUAACACAGUCCGGGAAUGACGGUACCUGAAGAAUAAGCACCGGCUAACUACGUGCCAGCAGCCGCCGUAA